rnacentral:lncRNA from 1 species
GUUUUGCUUGGUGGAUAUCUAAAGUCUAUUGAGCAAUCUCAAGUACAAUAAUUGAUGAUAUUUGGUGAUGAUAUUGAUGCAUGCUCACAUACGAUUGGACGAGGCCUUAGUGACAUUAAAAGAUGCAAGACUAGUUAAAUUUUGUUAUACUUCUUUCUUUGUUAAGACAUUGUACUCUUAAAUCAAUAAAACAACAUUUCAAUUUUCCAUGUGUUAUGAAACAAUGAUUCUGUUACAACACUCCCCGAUGAUUCCGCCACGUUUUGUUGUUUUAUGUGGUCGAGGUGUGAUAACGACCCCAAGAUCGAGAAAAUACAUGCGCAUAAAUUAGAGGCAAACUUUAAUUUCUUACUAUGUUAAUUUGAAAUGAUCUUGAAGUAGGAUAAGGUUAUCCAUGGGCGGUUACAUAUAUUUCUCUGAUUAGGUGGAAUUCAACUAUAGAGAUAAAUUUUAUGUUUUUUUUGCUUGUACUGUUCAGAACAUUGUCACCAAAGUCGGCUCACUCUUUGAUAUGA